rnacentral:tRNA from 1 species
GGCGCGGUAGCUCAGUUGGUAGAGCAAAGGACUGAAAAUCCUUGUGUCGUUGGUUCGAUUCCAACUUGCGCCA